rnacentral:rRNA from 1 species
UACGUAGGGGGCAAGCGUUGUCCGGAUUUAUUGGGCGUAAAGAGCGUGUAGGCGGCCGUACAGGUCAGCUGUGAAAACUCGAGGCUCAACCUCGAGACGUCGGUUGAAACCGUACGGCUAGAGUCCGGAAGAGGAGAGUGGAAUUCCCGGUGUAGCGGUGAAAUGCGCAGAUAUCGGGAAGAACACCAAAGGCGAAGGCAGCAUCCUGGGAAGUUCCUGACGCUCGGGUGCGAAAGCCAGGGGAGCGAACGGG